GAUGAACGCUGGCGGCGUGCUUAACACAUGCAAGUCGAACGGAAAGGCCCUAGGUAGUUGGGGUACUCGAGUGGCGAACGGGUGAGGAACACGUGGGUGACCUGCUCUGCACUUUGGGAUAAGCUUAGGAAACUGGGCCUAAUACCGGACAGGACAUCAUGUUGGGUGGUGUGGUGGAAAGCUUUGCGGCAUGGGAUGAGCUCGCGGCCUAUCAGCUUGUUGGUGGGGUAAUGGCGUAAGACCCCGUCGAUGGAUAGCCGGCCUGAGAGGGUGGACGGUCACAUUGGGACUGCGAUACGGCCCAGACUGCAACGCUAGACAGCGGUGGGGAAUAUUGUACAAUGGGCGCAAGCCUGAUGAAGCGACGCCGCGUGGGGGAUGACGGCCUUCGGGUUGUAAACCCCAUCAGCUUGGGACGAAGCGGAAGUGACGGUACCUGGAGAAGAAGCACCGGCUAACUACGUG
rnacentral:rRNA from 1 species